UGCAAAGUGGCUUGGUGGUCAGUUUGGAUCUUUUUGUCGAAGUAACCUUAGCGAACUAUUCAAGUUUACCGUCAGCGACAGGAUAUCACUUUCUCUACCCCAGCUUUUGUUUCCAGCGACCUCUCUCUGUGAGUUAACCGUUCUUUCAAAAAUUGAACAAAAAAUUGAAAAGCGUUUUCCUUUGAGGCGUCCUAAAGGGAGCUAACCACCGUUAGCAUUGCGCUAGCAUGACAACCAGAAGAAGAACUGCCAUCAUCAUCAUCCUCCCCAGUGGCUUCGCUAGCAGCAGGCCUCCAUUAUGGUCUUCAGAUGUGAGCCUAUUGCUCCCAAAUGGAUGAUGAUUAUCAUGUCAGCCCACCACAUCUGGAUCAUCCACUCAUGCCCACAGGAAUCCUCAUCCGCCCCUACAGCUUUUGGGCCACAGCAGAAGACGACUGUGCUGAGUUCCACACCUGACAGUUACGAACAAGAAGAUGAUGCUACACUCGGAUGAAAUUACACUUGAUCACAAGAAGUGACAGUCGACAAAUUAAACAUUGUUGCCUGUUUCUAUGUAUCUUGAUUUCUUUUGCAAAGUGUGGUUCCACAGAUCUAUCCUGCCAUUGUUGUGGUCAUACCAACACCAUAACUUACUAGUUAUUGUUAAUAGGCCAGUACAGAUUUUUUUUCAGAUGAACAAAAAGAUAAUGCACAUGAAUGUCAAGUAAUGACAGUAAUUUUCUCCAAGACUACUUGUUGUUCUUGUUUAGUACAGUUUAAUUAAUAUACAGUAAUAUAAUAUUCAGUCUGACUCUGACUAUUUGUAUAAUUUUUCCAUCUUGUUAAUCAUAAUUUUUUUUAUUUCUUCACUGUAAGCUUGUUAUAUUUUGUUUGCUGGGCGUACUGCUCUCCAGUGCUGUUGGAGUUGAGGAAUAACCAAAAGAAAUGAUUUUAAAUGAGGCUUUAAUUUACAACUUCACAUUUUUUAUACUAAACAAAAUUAUAGGUAUUUACUAAAUUGGUAUUUACUGCACAAACAUUUUAUUGUUAUAUGUAAUAUUGAAUCUGAGUGAAUACAAUCCAUCAUCAUGUGAAGAAAAAAUGAUGGCAAUGUUGACAGCACAUUUAUAGAGAUUUGAAUGUUUCCCCACUUUUCUAGCUGUGUCUGUUUUUUAUGACUUGUGCAUUAACAUAAAAGUGAAGUAGAAACAGUUGUAAUUGCAAAGAAUUGUAGUGUGUCAGUGUUUGUACCACAGGGUGGCGACAUUUGCAAAACAAUAGAAUUUAAUUGGGAGAACGUGUCAUGUCUUUGGUUGAACAUUAAUUUUAACACAGGACAGAAGUUUGAAAUUUCGUGUGACCUUGCAAGGUCAAAAAACAAUCCCACACAAGUGCGUAUGAGUGGUGACCGUGUUUCACUCAGAAAUAUGAUCUAUUAAAUGCUGUUGUGCGGCAGA